AAGAAGGAAGGAAGGAAGGAGGAAACCAUAUGGGGGCUAGAGCAGGGGAGGGGCCCACUUGGAGUCAGGGAUCAAGGAAGGCCCUCCAAGGAGGUGACACCAGGCCAACACCGGGAUGGCCAGGUGGGAGGGCCGAAGCAGAGAGCAGCUUGGAGACCCUCUGUCACCCUUUGCACCCAGAUUCGUUCUUCCCCAAACGCACAUCACAAGAGGUCAAGGGCGUUCCCCUGGACUUUUCCCCGGUUCUGUCAGCUCCUCAGGGUUCCCCAAGGACAAAAUACUAAACAAGAGGGGGCAAGUCGGGUUUACCGGGGGAGGGAGGGCUUGCAUUGGAGGCGACCAGGAACGGAUUUAGGUACCGAGGCAUGGAAGGAAACGAGGCGAUGUCUUUGGAGGGAGCUGCGGAUGGGCUGGGAAUCCCGAAGCCUGGUGGGGAGCACUUCCAGGAAACCACUCCCAGAAGCUUCUGCUGGGUGACUUUGAGUUUGGGGAGGACAUAGCCCCUGUGACUGCCACCCACAGUAGGAGAGAAAACUGAGGUCAAGAGAGGCUCCAGGGUCAGUAUGAGGCAGGAGAGAGACAGACAGACAGCAAGGUAAACAGCCGAACUCUCAGGGGCUGAGAGGAGAGCUGAGCAGCCGGCUGGAGGCACAUGUCCCUGAGCGUCCCCCCAGGUGCCCUGGGAGGAGUCCCCUUUGACAUCGGUACAGCCCAGAGAGAGGCGGAGUGGGGACCACAGCCCAGACCUUCAGUGCCACCGAAGGAGGCCCAGCUUGUUCCUUGUUUCUCUGCCUCUGGCUCCUGCCAACGCUGGGAGGCCAGAGGGGGAAGGAGAGGAGGGGCGGUGCCCGAGGCCAGGGGUUGCUGGGGCGAUCGGAAGCUCUGACCGAGAAUGAAGGCCUCAUCAUCCCACACAUUAAAUACUGAGGGGAGAUGGUCUGGGUGACGAGAGGGACUUCUGAUAUCUGGGAGUGAGCCUGGGCCUGUCCACGAGCUCGGCCAGGGGGAGAGAAGAUGCAGCCCCCGGCACAGGCCUGAGCAGGCUGUUGGGGUGGGGGAUGGAAGAAAGCUGGGUUGUUUGUACCCCCACUGACCCCGCUCUUCGAAGCGGCUGGCUGUAUCCUCCUCACCCCAACAGGAAAAGGCCCGCAUUUCGAACCUCUCCCCUUCCUGUGCUCGCAUCAUCAUCGUGGCCCCUCACCUCCUGAGAUGCCCCAUUAGCUGCUCAUCCAGGCUGCGAGUGCCUCCGGCUAAUGGCCCCGCCACCCCGCCUUCUCUCCCUUCCGGCUCACUGCCCAUCGCGGCCACCCUCCCUCGGGGACUCCUGAGCCUCAGAGACAUCCGGCAGCACCCAGAGAGGCUCGGAAAUCACGAGGGCUUCCUCUUCUGGGACCUGCAUGCUCCUGUUCCAUCUCCUGCUGUUACACGGCCAUCGUGUGCUUUCCAUUUAAGGGGCCACGUGGGGGAAAGAAAGCAGGGGACUCAGGGCCAGCGGUCCUGUCCUGGCGUCUAAUCCAGUCUCCUCCACCCUCUGGGGGCGUCCUUCUCCUCCACUAUCCCAUUAGAUGGCUUCUCGGGGCCCCGAGUGGUGCUGAAACCAGUCUGUGGCUCCCAGAGCUCACUUCCCCGCCUCAGGGAUCUGAGGGCAGGGAGCAGGGGGGGCAGGGGCGGCCCCAUGGACCUGCCCCCGCAGCUCUCCUUCGCCCUCUACGUGGCCGCCUUCGCGCUGGGCUUCCCCCUCAACGGCCUGGCCAUCGCAGGCGCCGUGUCCCAGGCCCGGCUGCGCCUCACCCCCAGCCUCGUCUACGCCCUCCACCUGGGCUGCUCUGACCUCCUGCUGGCCACCUCUCUGCCGCUAAAGGCGGCGGAGGUCCUGGCGGGGGGAGCCUGGCCCCUGCCGGCCGGGCUCUGUCCCAUCUUGGCUCUGGCCCACUUUGCCCCCCUCUACACAGGUGGGAGCUUCCUGGCUGCCCUGAGUGUCGGCCGCUACCUAGGAGCCGCCUUCCCCUUGGGCUACCAGGCUGCCCGGAGGCCACGCUAUUCCUGGGGGGUGUGUGUGGCCAUAUGGGCCCUUGUCCUCUGUCACCUGGGGCUGGUUUUUGGGUUGGAGGCUCCUGGAGGCUGGCUGGACAAUACUACCAGCUCCCUGGGCAUCAACACGCCAGUCAAUGGCUCUCCAGUCUGCCUGGAGGCCUGGGACCCGGCCUCUGUGGGUCCCGCUCGCCUAAGCCUCUCUCUCCUGUUCUUCUUUCUGCCUCUGAUCAUCACGGCCUUCUGCUACGUGGGCUGCCUCCGAGCACUGGCCCGCUCAGGCUUGAGCCACAGACGGAAGCUAAGGGCGGCCUGGGUGGCUGGUGGGGCUCUGCUCACGCUGCUGCUCUGCCUAGGACCCUACAAUGCCUCCAAUGUGGCUGGCUUCCUGAACCCCAACCUGGGAGGCUACUGGCGGAAACUGGGGCUCAUCACAGGUGCUUGGAGCGUGGUGCUCAACCCACUGGUGACCGGCUACCUGGGAGGGGGCACUGGCCGGGGGACAACAUGUGUGGCCAGAACAAAAGGGGGCCCAUCCCAGAAGUAGGAGUCACUGCAGGGGGCAAGCGGCAGGGAGCAGGAGAGCCUGGCUGCUUCUUCAGGCUCCUGGCAGAAGCUGCUCCAAAGGAACUGUGGGCUGGCCUUGCCUGGGGGCAUCCAUGGAGCCACUUUGGGAAAGAACUGAGCCUGGCAGAAGACGGCAUCCCAGAAGGGGAGAAGAAUGGAGGCCUGGAGCUGGGUCACAGGGGAAGGAAAGUGACCCCAAGGGCAAGAAUUUUUGUCGUAUCUGUGGAUCUAUCCCCAGCAACCAGAAGAGAGCUGAGCACACAGUAGGCUUAUAAUAAAUAUUUGUUGAGUGAAUGAAUGCCCAUAACAGCCCUCCAAAGGAAGUUUUAUUACCCUGUUUAUAAACAUGGGAUCAGGCCAGAGAAGUUAAGUUACUUGCCCAAGGCUCCCCCGAAGCCAGAAACAAGUUUGUUCUCUGCUCAGUGCUGACACCAGAGAAUUUUUGUCAAAGCCUGGACUCCAGCCCAGGUGGCCCCACUGCCGCUCCCAUAGCACUGUAACCAUUCUCCCUCCCACUUGUGGGUUCGGGGGCCACCUCUUCCAGUUACUUGUGCCUCCUCCGCUUAGGGAAGAUUUCAGUUCCUCCCUGGGGCCGCCAGUGCUCAGCAUGGUCUGCCUCUAGCAUCCUCUGGCGACCCUUGCCCUUUGGGCCCCAAACCUUCCACCAGCACCCCCAGCAGGUCAAGCCUGUGCACCCCCACGCCCUCUGCACUGUUUCCU